rnacentral:lncRNA from 1 species
UGAACAUUGAAGCUCUUCCCAUCAUUUUGUGUCUUUUCCAUUUCUCUCUUCCAUUUUCAUUGUAGCAGACUCCCACCUCCUAGAUGACCUUACCAAUUGAUGUCUGAGGUGUCUCUACUUGGAAACACAUCCCCAUGGAAAUUGCUGCUAUUCUGAGGAACAAGAGCAUAGUACCUGAGAUUAAUUCCCCAGCUCUGAGGAUCUGCUGCUUUAUUCACCGGUUCUGAGCCCUGGGUGCUUUGGUUGGAAGUUCAUGCUAAUAUUGUCUCCUUGGCUGAAUUUGUUGCCAAAAGAUGAUCUGUGCCAAAGUGUUGGCAAAAGUUAGGCAUUUAAUUUUUAAAAUUCGAAUAAAAGGGGAGAGCAGGUAUGUCACUGUUUCUUGGCUUCUUGACACCUAACCAAGUAUCUUGCUUUCCACUGACCUGAAGACCACAGUUCAUCUCUUUUCUUCCCUUUGGGGCCCAUGCAUGUUCAGAUCCACCAGUGCUGUUUAUUGAAGUCUGACAAAAGCUAACCGGGAAAGGGGUGUUGUGUUUUCGUGAAAACACAAUGGACUUAGCACCAAAACAACUGCAAGCCUAAUCAUUAGGCUCCAGGAGCUUGCUAAAUUUGGGGAGUAGAAAAACAAGCACAAUAGGAACCAUGUGAUUUCCAUGUGAACAGCCACCACUGGGAAGAAAGUCAAGCUUCAUCAAGUGAGUGUCACCUUACCAUGCAAGACUGUAAGGUGUGUUGCUUGGCUCGGAGAAGAUGCUAGUACCUACUGGUCAAGUGCAGUCCAGGGAGGGAGAGAUGUGCUUGCUUGUCUUCAAAGGAGAGAACUCAGUGACAAGGGAGAACCGUUGUUUAGGUCUGAAACAAGCUUCUGGAAAGCCACCUUCAUCAGAGCCUGUAUUUUGUUCUCUUUUAAAUCAUUUCUUCUGCUCCACCACCCCACACCCCUGAACUGUCAUCCACUGGUCUGUCCACUAAACCACGCAUGUUAUGUGACCUCCGAGGUCACCUCUCCAAUGACC